rnacentral:rRNA from 1 species
AGUGAACGCUGGCGGUAGGCCUAACACAUGCAAGUCGAACGGAAGCACAGUAAGAGCUUGCUCUUACGGGUGGCGAGUGGCGGACGGGUGAGGAAUACAUCGGAAUCUACCUUUUCGUGGGGGAUAACGUAGGGAAACUUACGCUAAUACCGCAUACGACCUACGGGUGAAAGCAGGGGAUCUUCGGACCUUGCGCGAUUGAAUGAGCCGAUGUCGGAUUAGCUAGUUGGCGGGGUAAAGGCACACCAAGGCGACGAUCCGUAGCUGGUCUGAGAGGAUGAUCAGCCACACUGGAACUGAGACACGGUCCAGACUCCUACGGGAGGCAGCAGUGGGGAAUAUUGGACAAUGGGCGCAAGCCUGAUCCAGCCAUACCGCGUGGGUGAAGAAGGCCUUCGGGUUGUAAAGCCCUUUUGUUGGGAAAGAAAAGCAGCAGGUUAAUACCCCGCUGUUCUGACGGUACCCAAAGAAUAAGCACCGGCUAACUUCGUG